rnacentral:lncRNA from 1 species
AAACUGGUGAGUUUCUGGGAGAGCAGAGCACCAUGCAGCUAGAGCAAGGCACCCUGAUCCAGCUCAAGAUCUCUGAACUGCAGCAUCUGCAGAGAGGACCUGGCAGAAGACUGCACAAUGGUGCUCCAAGCCUCCUCUGAGGAUCUCAGUCACACUAUCAUGUGCCCAAAUAAAGCCUCAGAC